GAUGAACGCUGGCGGCGUGCCUAAUACAUGCAAGUCGAGCGAACGGACAAGGAGCUUGCUCCUCUGACGUUAGCGGCGGACGGGUGAGUAACACGUGGAUAACCUACCUAUAAGACUGGGAUAACUUCGGGAAACCGGAGCUAAUACCGGCUAAUAUUUUGAACCGCAUGGUUCAAAAGUGAAAGACGGUUUUGCUGUCACUUAUAGAUGGAUCCGCGCCGCAUUAGCUAGUUGGUAAGGUAACGGCUUACCAAGGCAACGAUGCGUAGCCGACCUGAGAGGGUGAUCGGCCACACUGGAACUGAGACACGGUCCAGACUCCUACGGGAGGCAGCAGUAGGGAAUCUUCCGCAAUGGGCGAAAGCCUGACGGAGCAACGCCGCGUGAGUGAUGAAGGUCUUCGGAUCGUAAAACUCUGUUAUUAGGGAAGAACAAAUGUGUAAGUAACUGUGCACGUCUUGACGGUACCUAAUCAGAAAGCCACGGCUAACUACGUG
rnacentral:rRNA from 1 species